GCUUGCUUUCUUUGCCGGCGACCGGCGCACGGGUGAGUAACACGUAUCCAACCUGCCCUUUACUCGGGGAUAGCCUUUCGAAAGAAAGAUUAAUACCCGAUGGCAUAAUGAUUCCGCAUGGUUUCAUUAUUAAAGGAUUCCGGUAAAGGAUGGGGAUGCGUUCCAUUAGGUUGUUGGUGAGGUAACGGCCCACCAAGCCUUCGAUGGAUAGGGGUUCUGAGAGGAAGGUCCCCCACAUUGGAACUGAGACACGGUCCAAACUCCUACGGGAGGCAGCAUGG
rnacentral:rRNA from 1 species